UCCGGCUUGGAGGAAAAACAGCCUUAUCAUAACCGUGACCAAAGACAUCCUGAUCACCGUCACAAGUCGGCAUUUACAGUUUGGUCUUUCCAAACACCGUGGGAACGCGUCUCCUGUAUCUGUCUCCCAGCUAGCUCAAGACAUCUGUUGAAGAGCAGGUCACCCUCCUUCUGCCUCUUGGAAACGACUCACAAGCUAGAACCUCUUCUGAAGCCUCAAACUCCUCCCACAGGUCCUUUGUGGCUGAGACCAGACCUGGUGUAUCUCAGUCCUCAAGACCUAGCCCAGGAUCUUGUUGACGGAAGGAGACCCCUGUGCCCAGCUCUGCGGUCUGUACCGCCUCCUCAGACCCCCUUCCCUCUCUCACUUCCACUUCAGAGGUGAAGACAGACACAGCCUCCUUUCCCGGGGUGGGGGAGGGGCGUGUGACACAAAUGAGGGGAGAGAGACAUAAGCAGAAAUUCACUGUGGGAUCUGGCGGUAAAUCAACUCAUCUUCUUCCUACUUUUACAUAAGCAUGAUGGCUGAGGCACACAGCAGCUUAUGUCCAUGACAGAAAAUCCCAGAAGGUGCCAGCUACAAAGGUCCUGAUUUUGUUAAAUCACAGAAUCCCUAAAGGUAUCCAUCUGCUGUCAGGCCUUUGGCUUGUGAGGAGAAUAUGCCUUUGCUCGAGUAAAAUUCGGGGUGCUUUCUACAUGCCAGGCACUCUUCUAAGCAAGACAAGAAGACAGAUAUAGAGGUGUGUGUGUACCAUGCCAUGUGAAUGACAUUCC